UAGAAAGAGACCCUCUAAAACAUUAAAAUGUAUGACUGGCACACGAAACCUUAAAUUAGAGUGAAUCGAUGAAGACUCGGCCCACCACUUCUGAAAGGUUGCCAACCCCUGCGUUAUACCCUAUAGAAUCUCCCUCCCUCACCUUGAUAGCGUCCCUUAUAGAGCCACCCCAUAGAGUCCCCCUCCCUCACUUGGGUGGCAUCCCUUAUAGAGCCCUGCCCAAACACACACAUCACACCCUGUAGAGUCCCUCAACCUGGUGUCUCACAAUUUAGGGCCCCACAACAGUGCUGUCCUCUGACUUGGAAGGCAGAGAUUUUAAUCAGUAAGUGCCCCCAAAAGUCAUGAGAUGUGUGACCCAUGAGUUUUGAACUUUUGGAGCUGGCCAUAUUGUUGAUGCAACAAUUUAUAUAUUCUCCUGUCUAGAGCUUUUCGAAAAAGGUGUGGUUCAUGCCAUACCGCUGCCCAGAUCACUCCUGCAAUAACCAGCAGACCCCUCGUCUUUUCUCUCACUGAAAACCCAGAGUUAGGACCAGCAAAAACCUAAAGUAGAACCCCUUUUGGAUGAAGUCCAGUGGAAUGAAUUUGAUCAGCCCACUGUUAGGAAGAACUGUAUCUCCUUUCUCAAGAUAUCCUUGUGAGAAGGGUCCCUGAAGGAGGACAAGGUGGGGCACAAGAGGGUGUUAAGGAGGUGAACUGAAUGGAAAAGACUGUGGAAACCACCUCCAGAAUCCAUCUCUCUGAGGUGAUGAGCUCCCAGGAAGGUAUAAAAUGGGAAAGACAAUUCCCAUAAGUGUGGAUGUCGGGGAGGUGCAGCAUAGAAUCUGAAGCAGAAGCUGUAUAAAUGCCCAGAGAUCAUAGUGUCACCUGAGAGUCUUUGAGAGAAUGGAGAGACCCAUCUGUGGUGUCAGUAAACAACUUGGGUUCUGCAAAAGGAAGAUCUUUGACAGUAUUUUGGACCUCCUGGGAGAAACCAGAGGACUGCACCCAAGAAGCUAGGUGCAUGAGUACUGCCAUAGCCAUGGGAUGCAUAGCCCUGGUGAAAUUGUUUUCUCUGAUCCUGAGGCAAGAGUUCAGUAAAGGCUAAGAACUUGGAAUAAUUUGUGAAGACACACUUCGCCAUCAGUGCUUGGUAAUUGGCUACUCUGAAUCGCAAAGAAGCCAAGGAGUAGCUCUUGUGAUCAAGAAGGUCCAGUUGCUUCAGCUCUUUGUCAGAUGGUGCUGAAUGGAAUCUGUGCUGUGUGUUCCUCUUAUCUGCAGCCUCAACAACCAGAUUGUUGUAUGUAGCCUACGAGAAAAAAUAUUCUGAGCCUCUGGGUGGAACACAGUAUUUUUUGUCAGCCCAUUUGCAUGUAGGCAGGAUAGUAGCUGGAGUUUGCCAUACCGGGCAUGCUAGAGCUAACAAUGUCAUUGAUGGGAAAGGCAAUCCUGGCCGGGGGGAGAUGUCUGAUGAAUAUCCACCAGGGAGCGUUGCAGUUCCUGUAUCUCCGCCAACAGAAUUUGUAAACUGUCCACUGUACAUUUCCUCAGGUCUUGAAAGGCCUUGAAAUCAUCAGGGUAAGAUGGUGGAAGAGACAUGAUCUCCACCUCCAUCUGGUGAAAAGAAGGACUUGUGGGAGGAAGGUGUUUCUUCCUCAUCAGCUGAUUCCUCCUACACAGUGAAAUGCACCGGACGGACAAGGCUUG